rnacentral:rRNA from 1 species
UACGGAGGGUGCGAGCGUUGUCCGGAAUCACUGGGCGUAAAGGGCGCGUAGGCGGCGCGAGCAGUCGAUCGUGAAAGUCCGGAGCUCAACUCCGGAUCGGCGGUCGAUACUCUCGUGCUUGAGCACUGUAGAGGCAGAUGGAAUUCCGGGUGUAGCGGUGGAAUGCGUAGAGAUCCGGAAGAACACCGGUGGCGAAGGCGGUCUGCUGGGCAGUUGCUGACGCUGGAGGCG